rnacentral:rRNA from 1 species
AAAGGGUCCGUAGGCGGUUUAAUAAGUCAGUGGUGAAAGCCCAUCACUCAACGGUGGAACGGCCAUUGAUACUGUUAAACUUGAAUUAUUAGGAAGUAACUAGAAUAUGUAGUGUAGCGGUGAAAUGCUUAGAGAUUACAUGGAAUACCAAUUGCGAAGGCAGGUUACUACUAAUGGAUUGACGCUGAUGGACGAAAGCGUGGGUAGCGAACAGGAUUAGAUACCCUAGU